rnacentral:rRNA from 1 species
GUAAACUGCUUUUAUAUGUGACGAAUAUGACGGUAGCAUAUGAAUAAGGAUCGGCUAACUCCGUGCCAGCAGCCGCGGUCAUACGGAGGAUCCAAGCGUUAUCCGGAAUUACUGGGCGUAAAGAGUUGCGUAGGUGGCAUAGUAAGCGGGUAGUGAAAGCGUGUGGCUCAACCAUACUCACAUUAUCUGAACUGCUAAGCUAGAGGACGAGAGAGGUUAUUGGAAUUCCCAGUGUAGGAGUGAAAUCCGUAGAUAUUGGGAGGAACACCGAUGGCGUAGGCAGAUAACUGGCUCGUUCCUGACACUAAGGCACGAAAGCGUGGGUAGCAAACGGGAUUAGAUACCCCGGUAGUCCACGCCGUAAACGAUGGAUGCUAGCUGUAUUCGGUAUCGACCCCGGAUGUAGCGAAGCUAACGCGUUAAGCAUCCCGCCUGUGGAGUACGGUCGCAAGACUAAAACAUAAAGGAAUUGACGGGGACCCGCACAAGCGGUGGAGCGUGUUGUUUAAUUCGAUGGUAAGCGAAGAACCUUACCCAGGCUUGACAUCCUGCGAAUUUCUCCGAAAGGAGAGAGUGCUUUAUUGAACGCAGUGACAGGUGAUGCAUGGCCGUCGUCAGCU